rnacentral:misc_RNA from 1 species
GAUGAAGACGUAGCGAAAUGCGAUAAGUAAUGUGAAUUGCAGAAUUCAGUGAAUCAUCGAAUCUUUGAACGCACAUUGCGCCCGCCAGUAUUCUGGCGGGCAUGCCUGUUCGAGCGUCAUUUCAACCAUCAAGCCCUGCUUGCGUUGGGGUCCUGCGGCUGCCCGCAGGCCCUGAAAACCAGUGGCGGGCUCGCUAGUCACACCGAGCGCAGUAAUACAUCUCGCUUUGGGCGUGCGGCGGGUUCUUGCCGUUAAACACCCCCUUUUUACCAAGGUUGACCUCGGAUCAGGUAGGAAUACCCGCUGAACUUAAGCAUAUCAAUAAGCGGAGGA